rnacentral:tRNA from 2 species
CCCUAAAAAGUCCUUUAAACA